GUCGAAGAAAAAACUUCCGAGUGUUAUUGUGCGUAAAAGUCUUAUGAAAGUCUAGGGCUCCUUACAAAAAUAGCUAUUUAACAGUUUGAUUUUCAACAUUAACUUUACAGAAGGUUUCACACCGAUUGACUGAAUCGAGCAAUCCUACGGAAUUUUGGUUAGUUGGUAAGUCUUUAGGCCUAAUUAUUAGUAUAUAUAUAUGUAUAUAUUUGGCGUAGGAACUGCUUUUAGCGACUAUAGCCGAAUCGAUCAGAGCGCGCCUGGAAACACCAAGUGAAGCCAUGUCACUUUCCACUUGGUCUUUCCAACGGAGUGGAGGUCGUCCUCUUCCGCGGCUUCCUCCAACCGGUACUGCAUCGAACACUUUCAGAGCUGGAGUGCUUUCAUCCAAUCGUCGUAUAAAUCGUUCCAUCGUCUGCGGUGUUUGCCGUUAGCAACGUUUAGAGGAUCAUAAAUCUUGCGCAAAACCUUUCUCUCGAAAACCCCAAGAGUCGUCUAACUAGAUCAAAAUUGGACUGUAUUUGUACUGACCAAACGUAACUUAAACUAAGGUUAUGGUAUAUUUAAAAAAAAAAUUGCUAUAAUUCCGUAAAUAUUAGAUGUGAAAAAGGAACUAAAGUAUAGAGAGCCAAAAUAGAGAAUUAAUAAUCAUAAAAACUGAAUGGUUACAUAAACUAACUUAAUCAAAGGUUACGAAUAAAUUUUCUAGAAAAUCUAUAAAAGGAACUAAAGUAUUGAUAGCCGAUAAUUGAGAACAAGAGAGAGAAUAUAUGUACCUUAACGAGGGUUUACUAAGUUUCUACAGACAAAAUUAAAUUUCCUACGGGG